CCCUGCUCAAUGGUAUGCUAAAUAGCCGCAGUACCUUGACUGUGCAAAGGUAGCAUAAUCAUUUGGCUUAUAAUUGAAGUCUGGCAUGAAUGGGACUAUGGGUAAAUACUGUAUCAUCUAAAUAAAUUGAAAUUACUAAUUAAGUGAAAACUCUUAAGAACAUAAAAUAGACGAGAAGACCCUAGAAAUUUUGUAUACAUGUGUAGAAUCUGCAAAACUAUUUUGUUGGGGCGACAGAGCAGCAUGAAACCUGCUAACUUUUAUUAGAACUUAUUGAGAAGUAUAAAUAAAUUACUCUAGGGAUAACAGCAUAAUACAAAAGAGUUUGUGACCUCGAUGUUGGACUAGGAAAAUUAAUGUCUAGAAGAUAUUUAUAAAGGCUCUGUUCGAGCUAAAUUCCUACGUGAUCUGAGUUCAGACCGGA
rnacentral:rRNA from 1 species